rnacentral:rRNA from 1 species
AAUUUUGGACAAUGGGGGAAACCCUGAUCCAGCCAUCCCGCGUGUAUGAUGAAGGCCUUCGGGUUGUAAAGUACUUUUGGCAGAGAAGAAAAGGUACCUCCUAAUACGAGGUACUGCUGACGGUAUCUGCAGAAUAAGCACGGGCUAACUACGUGCCAGCAGCCGCGGUAAUACGUAGGGUGCAAGCGUUAGUCGGAAUUACUGGGCGUAAGGCGUAUGUAGGCGGUUCGGAAAGAAAGAGGUGAAAUCCCAGGGCUCAACCUUGGAACUGCAUUUUUAACUGCCGAGCUAGGGUAAGUCAGAGGGGGGUAGAAUUCCACGUGUAGCAGUGAAAUGCGUAGAUAUGUGGAGGAAUACCGAUGGCGAAGGCAGCCCCCUGGGACAAUACUGACGCUCAGACACGAAAGCGUGGGGAGCAAAC